UGGGAGGUAAAUUUCUCCUAGGGCUAAAUAAAGGCGAGAGACCGAUAGCGAACAAGUACCGUGAGGGAUAGAUGAAAAGAACUUUGAAAAGAGAGUUAAACAGUACGUGAAAUUGUUGAAAGGGAAACGAUUGAAGUCAGUCGUACCGACGAGGAAUCAACCUUUUGAGAGUGGAUAUGUGGGAUUCAAAGUGCCUUUGAUUUUCGCAUCAUCUGCUUUUUUUGGGCGUACUUUUUCGUAUGGUAGGUUAACAUCGGUUUUGAUCGUUAUAAAAUUACUGGAGGAAUGUAGCUUUGAUCUUGUAUUGAAGUGUUAUAGCCUUUGGUAGAUGUAACGGUUAGGAUCGAGGAUUGCAAUGGAUACCUCACGGGCUAUCCGUCUGGCCUCUGAUUUGUCACUUUGGUGCUGAAAGCGUGCUUAUGGUAUUAAAGUGUACGGUCAAAAGGUUAGAACGGAAUAAAUUCAUUAAGGAUGUUGACGUAAUGGCUUUAAACGACCCGUCUUGAAACACGGACCAAGGAGUCUAACAUAUAUGCGAGUGUUUGGGCGAAAAAACCCUUACGCGUAAUAAACGUAAUUUAGGUGGGAUCCAUUUUAUUGGAGCACCAUCGACC
rnacentral:rRNA from 1 species